CUCUAAUUGAAAGGUGAGGUCACAGGGAAUGCCCAUGUGCUGGGGUUCUAUGUUGUUUAAGUUCUUUAUGUUCUAACUUGAAAAACGAAAGAAAGCAAAGAGUCAACUAUGCAUAAUACUAUAGAAAGAAGAAUUACCUGACAAUUCUCAGGGUUUCUUUUAAUUGGUUGCCUUUUGAAGGUCAGAGUAUGAUGCUCUAAGCAUUUAUGUGACUUAAAAAGUUUGGAGAUUUCUGAUUCCAAAGCUGAAAACAGCUUGAAGAAGCUUUAUUUUUUAAAAAAUUGAAAUGGCCAAAUCUUGGACUAUUUUAAACACCUGUAAGCACAGUGAAUAAGGCGAAGUCAAGUGGGGUUGAUGGGAAGGGGACAUGGCAGGCUAAGCUGAAUAGAAUAACAGAAAUGAUAGAUUUCCUGUGUUCAUCAAGGCCCAAUACCACGAUGUUUCCAGAAUUACUUUUUGAAUAUCUUGAAUAUCAUGCACUAAGUAUACUACAUUCAUACACUUACAGACUUAUAGCUUCAGCCACAGAGUGAGCAAUGUGACAUCAUGCUGUCAAUGCAAAUUGACUCAAUAGUAUUGAAUCCUGAAACUGUCACUCACUAUGACCUAUGCAAUUUGUAUUUAUUCAACAAGUGUUUAUUAAGCACCUACUAUAAACUGUAUGCUAUACUAAGCACUGUGGAUACAAAGUCAGACGACACAUUGCCCUGGAGUAGUAUAGUGAUUGGCAAACUACAGUCCACGGGCAAUAUAUGGUCCACCCACCUGUUUUUGUACAGCCUUCAAGCUAAGAAUGGCAUUUACAUUUUUAAAUGGUUGAAAAAACUUUAAAAAAUAUUUUGUAACACAUGAAAAUUAUACAAAAUUCCAAUUUCAGCAUCCAUAAAUAAAGAUUUCUUGGAACACAGCCAUCCUUUUCCAUUAUAGUAUUCUCUGUGGUUGCUUUUGCACUAUAAUAGCAGAAUUGAGUAGUUGUGACAGAGACUACAGGCUUGCAAAACCUAAAAUAUAUACUGCCUUGCCCUGUAUAUAAUAAGUUUGCCAACACCUGGUCUGUUAGGACGUCCAAUUACAAUGCAGUUUAUUGUCCUAUGAGCAGACACAGGUUGCCAUGGGAAUAUGUAAGAGGGGACACUUAACCCAGACUUGGAAAGUGAGAAAUAUCUCCCUGGUGGAGGUGGCACCUGAGCUGAGGCCCUGAGGACAGGAGUAAGUUACACCAAAAACGGGGGUGAAGGGCAGCAGAAAUAACACGAAUAAGUCAGGGAAGCUGAGGAACGUAUGGCAUCCAGACGUGCUAGUGGUCCAGUACAGCUAGAACACGGGUGUCUAGAGAACACGAGUUUAGCCAGGUAGGCUAGGGCACCUUGUGGGUCUCUCAAAGGCAUUGGAGAGGCAAUGAAAGAUUUUAAGCAUGGGAAUGACACAACGGAUUUUUUUUCCCCAGAAAGAUCAGUCUAGAGUUAGUGAAAGAAUGGAGGAGAAGAAGGGGCAAGAGUGGUGUGGUAAAGACCAGUUAGGACACUGUUAGCAAUAAACCAGGUGAGAAAAUAAGGUGGUCUGAGCACAGGCUGUGGAGGUGUGGGUGGAGAGGAUGGACACGUUGGACAGACAUAUAUAAGGCAGAUCAAUGGAACUGGGUACAGGAAGAAGGAAGUGAGGCAGAAUAAGCACAGCCACUCUCAGAUGUUUGAUCUGGCAGAAUUAGGGGAUGAAUGGUUCAGCUAUUUAACGGGUAAGGAAACCAGGAACAAGAGCAGAUAUGGGGAAGGAAUGGGGUCGGUUUUGGGUAAGUUCAUUUAGAUGUACUUUGGUACGUCCAUGUGGAGGUGUCCAGUCACCUGUUGGAUAUAUGUGUCGACCUGGAAUGGAGAUCAUAGAAGGCACUCAGCAGUGAAAAUUUAAAAAUCAGUCUGGCAGACAAGAUUUUGGUCUCUAUAGUCAGUCCAAGUCAUGUCUUCUGAUUCUGCCACUUAAUAGCUGUGUGUUCCCUUCCUACACCUCAGUAUCCUCAUCUGUACAAUAGGAGGAAUACUACCACUAACUUCAAAGGUUGCUAUGGGAGUUAUUAUAAAUGAGAUAAUACAGGUAGCACUUAGUACAGUGUUUCGCACAUAAUUGCUCAAAAAUAUUAUUGUGGCAUAAUCAUAAUCUAGGAUAGAUGCACUUUCUAAAUUUAUUAAACCUUGGUUUAUUCAUUGUAAAUUGGGGAUUACGUUUUUCUCAUUAGGAUCAUGAAUGAAUGGGAGAAAAAGGGCUGUGGAACAAAGCAAAAGCAGACUAGAUCUCUCUUCAAGAUAACCUGCUCCAAGGAAAGUAAGUGGCAACCUUCAACAGCUACCCUAGUAGACCGGCUGUAGCCCUGACCCCAAACUACGCUCUCAGCAGCUCCCAGCCAAUGACUAAGCAUGGUGUGGAGCUACUGACGUCACAGCAUCUUUGCCCAACAUCGGACACCUCUGGAGGGAAAUCUUGUCUCUGGGGUUCCCAUCAGCCUGGCCAAGACUUUUUCAGAGCUGCAUUGGGAUCUGAGGCUCAUCCCACCUGCUCCUCCUUCCCGCCUCUCUCUGUUCCACAGGUGUCAGGUUCGCAUGGCAUCUGCCUCUCUCCUGCUCCCAUUCCCUCGCUCAUCUAUUCCUCACAAGUGUUUCCCCCAAUAAAUCUCUUAUAUGCCUAGGUCCAUGUUGGUGUCUGCUUUCUAUGUGACCUGAACAAAGCUUUGAAGGAGUUUAAAAGGUUAGCCAGGCAGAUCAUCUGGGAGAAGAGCAUUCAGGAAGAGGGGGGAGCCCGAGGAAGUUCCCAUGUCAGGGCACCUGGCCCUUCUCAGGAGCAGAAGGA